rnacentral:lncRNA from 1 species
AUAGAUUGCUUAAUUGCUUGUAAACAUAUAAUUGCUUACAAUUAUCUGUGUAGAACACCCUCUGAAGUAACAGAACAUAUACUUUAAUUUAUGGAGUUACCAAUAAUAGUACCUUGGACUCAUCCAACAAAUCCUCCCAGUUCAUCAGAGCAAACAGCACUUAGGGAUGGUACAAAGCCACUCUGUCAAAACCAUGUUGCCCCAGUCUGUUCAUUUUGUCUGUUUUCCAGAACUUUCCAUCCGAAUUCUCCGGUAAAUCAGAUGAAGCAGAGGUGCCUUCACCAAGAUGUCUGGGCUGAGGCGAUGUUUAAUCUCUUCACCACAGGAGGAUACAGCUCAAAGCUUCAGAGUAAGUCUUUUGAAAGCAAAUUCGUGUUGUGAGACAUCCAACAACUUUCAAGUCUUGCAAGUGGAACUGUCUGAAGUGCUUUCUUUUUUUUUCACUAUUAGUGUUGUAUCCUGACUGUAGCCACCAGGAGACAUCUUAAAUACAUGUUCCAGUCAUACUGCCUGGAAAAUCUAAGUUUUCUCCCUCCAUUAAAAAUAAACAAGGCAAU